rnacentral:rRNA from 1 species
UACGUAGGGGGCAAGCGUUGUCCGGAUUUAUUGGGCGUAAAGAGCUCGUAGGCGGUUUGUCGCGUCGAAUGUGAAAACCCGGGGCUCAACCCCGGGCCUGCAUUCGAUACGGGCAGACUAGAGUUCGGUAGGGGAGUCUGGAAUUCCUGGUGUAGCGGUGAAAUGCGCAGAUAUCAGGAGGAACACCGGUGGCGAAGGCGGGUCUCUGGGCCGUAACUGACGCUGAGGAGCGAAAGCGUGGGGAGCGAACAGG